UUGACCUUUGAGGAACAUGUAGUGUUGCACUGCGGAUAUUAUUCAGAUUGACGUAAUGAAUGUAAUCAUUGCCAAAAAAAGAACAAAGUGGCGUCCCCUUUUUUCCGAGAUGCUGAUCACAGCUUCAGCUUUCAGCUUGCACUGAUUUAGACAAAUGACAUAGCCUGCUGAACAAGUGUCAAAAAAAAAAAAAAGUUCCCAGUCUUUAAGUAUGUGUUUUAAAGUUAAAUCACUCAACAAACGCCAUGUAAGGCCUAAAGGUGAUUUGAUACAUAUGCAUGAAGCUGCUGAGAUACGCCAGCAAUUUCUCUCGUUCUGAAAUAGGUAAAAGGGAAACCAAAGCAAGAGCUGAAGAUGAGUGGCCGAAACUCGAAUGACGAUAGUGAAGAAUUUAAAAAUGAAUUUAGGGAAAUGAAAAAAAAUUUAAAAAAAUACAUGGUUGAAACCGAACAGUUGAAAAAUGAAGUAAGAUAUUUCAAUGAAAAAUCUCUAAGGCAGGAAAACGACUUGAGCAGAUACAUGGCUAAAACUGAUGAGCUCGAAAAAUCUCGAAAUAAGCUGUGCAUAGGUCAGUUGUGUGCGAAUGUGAUGGAAGCAAUAUAUUGGGAAGUCGUGCCAGUUUACUUUGAGAAAGGAAAAGAUUACAAGCAGCCACGUCUCAGAUAUAUUGAUAAAGACAUUGAACAGCUGUAUGAAACUAGAGACGAUCAAAAAGAAGCUCAAGAAAGGUGGACGAAAUUGCAAGCGGACAAGAUUGAUCCAGAUGAAAAUAAUGUUAAGAAAAUAAUUGACUUCAUGGAAGACAAGUUGAAAGAGAGGAACAUAGAGGCCCAUCCUUGUCCGUUGAACGAAGAAGAAUUACAGGAUAUUGCAAGUAAUUCACCAGGUCAGGACCAGCAACUUUUAAGAAAGGUGAUCCAAUUACAUUUUCACACACUUAGUUGCCAUGGCAUUGAGUGAAAGAAACAAACUUUCAGCUCUUAUCUUGAUACUGCAGUCAGGAAUCAUGUAUAUGAAUUUCAUACUUGUUUUCUCUGACUUUUUUUAAUGUUUGCGUAUCACUCAAUUGACGAAUCGUUGUCGGGUUCAGAAACAUAGAACAUAGAAGCURAGACCGAAAUGGCACAUGGGAAGUACGUUAWUUAGAUGCAUGCUGUGACCGGCGACCCGUGGCAUCAUCCACUGUUUUUAAAACCAUUGAGGUUGUUAACGKUGUGCUGAAGGUACUAAAACAGGAAAACAAGAAUACGUUUGAUAGAUACGAGAUAACGCAAGUAAAUAAGCGGUUUCGUCUACUCUGCAACCUAUAAAAAUGCGAAGCCAAACGGCUUUCUAAACCGACUGCAUGGAUGGCGCAAAUGAAUACAUUAUGAUAUCAAUAUGUCAUUUCCCAUGUGCCAUUUCGGUCUCAGCUUUUAUGUUCUAUGUUUCUGAGCCCGACAACGAUUCUCCAAUUGAGUGUAUACGUUUUUAUCAAUAUUUCUAUCAUUCAUCAAUUUUUAUCAAAUUAUCAGCUCUUAUUUCAAUUUUACUUCGAUAACACACAAUGCAAAAAUGCGUUGCCACAAAACUCAACAACCACGUCUUCAAAUUAUUAAUUUUAAAUUCAAUCAUUACAAUUGCUGAAUCAUGCACUUUAAAAUAAUUUAUAGACACAACUUUUGUCAUUUUUUUGCCAUUAGACCUUGCGCUUGACAAUAGCACCGCGGAAGGUGCCUUCGCGUGUAACUAUUAAUAGGAGCAUCCAGGGCUAUACCAAGAGCCUUUAAAAAUCUGACGAGUAGUCAGUUGUAGGAUCUAUGCUGAACCUGAAAUACUCUAAAAUGAGUACUCCAGUAUUUUAACAAAUAUCUCUAAAUGUCUUGAGGAAUUUAGAAAAUAGAUAACGCUAAAAGAUAUGAAAUGCACUCUAUUUAAAACUUCAAACAAUAUAAAGUUUAGCUGUUUAAAUGGAAAAAGUAAUAUCUCGCUCGCAAUGCAUGAUGGGAUAACCCUGGAUUCUCUUCUGAGUAACGUCAAGAGAAAAUGAACUAAAAGAAGGAAUCCCAGCUCCCUAUCAUGUGCACACUUUGAUGCUAUUUUUAGGAUUAUUUCUGUUAUUUUUAGAAUCAUUCAUUAUACAUUUGAUCGUUUGCUAGCUUUUCUGCGCGCCCGUACUGCUCGCGCUCUAUGGUGUUUUCUCAUGUUUUCUUGUGUUUUUCGAAAAAAAAACAAAAACAGAAUAGAGCGCGCUCAGUAUGCGCGUGCAGAAAAAGAAAGAUAGCAUCAAACGGUGCCAAUGUUGGUGACAAUCAUGACCAGGUGAUCUCUAAAAUGUGCCAGGCGUCGCGCGCGGUAGGCGAAGAAAAAUCCAACACAUAGAGCUUUGCGCGUAAAAACGUGUCUCGUGAUUGAUGAUUCGAAGUCCGCCAUUGACGUUUGGAUGGUGAUAAACGAAGGAGUUUUCCAAUUGAAAUAUCUCUUAAACAUUUUUAUGAGCACAGAAGCUUUGAAAUACCGAAGUUAUCUUGGGAUGGAUUUUUUCUCGCUGACCACGAAAUGCGCUCUGAUUGGCUAAUUCGCUUUCCUCAGAUCACCUGGGAAUAACAGAGAUUCCUUCUCUUAGUCCAUUUUCUCUUGGUAACGUUUAUCUUUCGUUAAAAUCUUUCUCCUUCUAUUUGGACCCGGAAGUCUUUUUCCAUGCGUGAUUGAUCGUCAUUUAAAAGCUUUGUAAAGAUAAUUUUUAAAAAUAAGGUUUAAUUCUUAGAUUUUAUAUACACAGGAAGGCAGCACUGGAAUAGUCCGAGAGGAUAUUAAGAAUAUAUGGUAGAUUUCAUUUUUAAUAGCGAGUAAUAAUUAUGACUGAGUUAGCUCAGUUAGUUUGUUUUACGUACUAUAUGAGACCAACGCUCAGGGUCUUAAAAUAUUUGAGAAUAGUAGAAGAUCAAUAAGGUGCUGCCCGUUGGCACUAAAAAUAUCUGCAAAUGAUUAAACCUUUGCCGUGGAUCGGAUAACCAAGUAAAACAACUGUCCCGUCGCACUUAGAGACGUUAAACAUACAGGGCCACAAGUUUACCAGUUACAACAGUGACGUGCCACCCUCUCUAAAUAAAUUCGUCAGUUCCAUUUUUGAUUUUAAGUUAUAUGUUUACAUUUUUUCACAAUCAAGUUAAAAAUAAAUCAAUGAAUAAUUAAAUUUAGUAUUUUUACACAAGUAAAUAUGAUAAAUCCGGUGCGCUCAUUGGUCACAAUUUACGUCUUAUGCUGUUUUAUUCAGGCGGCCUACAGGUGAAUAAAUCGCGCGCACCCUCGUUUGUCGAUUUGUGCAGCUUGCAGAGACAAAGAGAAUUUGAACAAAAAAACCUCUCUCUCCGUUCUUUAUUAAAUUCACUUGUGUUAAAAAUACUACAACAAUUAUUCGCCUUAGGCAGAGUGAAUAUUGAGAAUAUUUACCUCGCCGCUCGAAGACUCGCUUUUCGGUAAAUAUUCCCCGAUAUUCACUCAGUCUGAGGAGAAUAAUUGCUAAAUAGUCACCGGCCAAAACGUAGAAAUAUCAGAUCGCUAAGGACACUAGUCAAAACCGUGCAUAGUGCAGCUUUAGGAUGCUUGCUCGACGUGAUAAUGUGUCUUCAAGCAGCGUUUAAUGCCAGCAAGACAUGUAGUCAAAGGGCUGAGGGUAGUACUAAGUAGUUAGUAGUAUUUCACGGAUAUAUAGUUUGCAUUCUGGCUAGCUGUGCAAGUCACAAUAAGGUUAAGCUAUAGUUUUGAUCGUCUGUCUCAGAAAAAAGAGACGUUAUGAAUAAAUGAGAAUCACCAAAUAAAGUCCAAUAAAAUCACGUCUUCUUGUGAAA